rnacentral:pre_miRNA from 14 species
GUAUUACAUGUUUUGUGCUUGAAUCUAAUUCAACAGGCUUUAUGUAAGAGAUUCUUUAACAAUUCCUAUAAUCUUUGUUGUUGGAUUAGAUUCACGCACAAACUCGUAAUCUGUCU